rnacentral:rRNA from 1 species
GUUUGGCAGCAAACUAAAUUCUUCCGGGGGAAGGUGCUUAUUAAAGAGAUGAUCCGCUUAUUAAUUUACUAUAUCUAGUGUUAGUGUAUAUCCGUUUGUAUAUUCACGCUUAGAGGUCAUAAGUGGGUAAAUAUUAAAUAAUUUAAGGCAGGUCUAUAUGCUGCUAAUGGUAUAGGUUGUUGUGCGUUACAAUAAAAAGUUUAAAUACUGAAAUGUAUUUUUAUUUUGGGACUCGGAAGUAGGAAUGUAAAUAGUAUGUCAUUUCGAAGGUUGAAAUAGUUUGGGUACACAUCGCCCGACAAUCUCGAUGCGUAAUUGAGUUAA